CCUACGGGAGGCAGCAGUGGGGCAUAUUGCACAAUGGGGGAAACCCUGAUGCAGCGACGCCGCGUGAGUGAAGAAGUAUUUCGGUACGUAAAGCUCUAUCAGCAGGGAAGAAAAUGACGGUACCUGACUAAGAAGCCCCGGCUAACUACGUGCCAGCAGCCGCGGUAAUACGUAGGUGGCAAGCGUUAUCCGGAUUUACUGGGUGUAAAGGGAGCGUAGACGGCAGCGCAAGUCUGGAGUGAAAUCCCAUGGCUUAACCAUGGAACUGCUUUGGAAACUGUGCAGCUAGAGUGCAGGAGAGGUAAGCGGAAUUCCUAGUGUAGCGGUGAAAUGCGUAGAUAUUAGGAGGAACACCAGUGGCGAAGGCGGCUUACUGGACUGUAACUGACGUUGAGGCUCGAAAGCGUGGGGAGCAAACAGGAUUAGAUACCCUUGUAGUC
rnacentral:rRNA from 1 species